rnacentral:tRNA from 1 species
GCCGAGAUGGCUCAGUGGUUAAGAGCACUUGCUUUGCAGUGGGCCUGAGUUCAGUUCUCAGUAUCCACA